rnacentral:tRNA from 1 species
GGCGCGGUCGCUUAGUGGUAUAGCGUGGAUCUGAAAAAUCCAUAUCCCUUCCCGGAUCCGCGGGUUCAAAUCCCGUCCGCGCCG